UACGAAGGGGGCUAGCGUUGCUCGGAAUUACUGGGCGUAAAGGGCGCGUAGGCGGCACUGUUAGUCAGGCGUGAAAGUCCUGGGCUCAACCUGGGAACUGCGCUUGAUACGGCAGAGCUAGAGGAUGGAAGAGGCUCGCGGAAUUCCCAGUGUAGAGGUGAAAUUCGUAGAUAUUGGGUGGAACACCGGUGGCGAAAGCGGCUCACUGGCUCGGUUCUGACGCUGAGGCGGCGAAAAGCGUGGGGAGCAAACAGG
rnacentral:rRNA from 1 species